rnacentral:lncRNA from 10 species
CUGGUUGCAGGUUCCCUGUUCGCUGGUGCGGGUCUAUGAGGAGGAAACACACAGAAACCAAAAGAUGGAAUCAGGCUGUCUCGGGCCACUUCCUUCCGCCACAGCUCUGCCUGGAGUGCCAGCCCCAGCACAGGUGAAUACACAGAACCAGCGCCUCCCUCCUGGAGCUUUCCUGGGGAGACCAGUGAGGGUGAACAAGGAAGCGGAUAGAGAACUCCCCGCAGCGUAAGUGCAGUGGGGACAUUUGUGGCAGGGAGUGCCUGGGGAGGGUGGUCGGGGAAGGCUGCCCCAAGGAGUUAUCAUCUGAGCAAGACCCAAAAUUGUAAGAAGUAGCACGCGGCGCUCCCAGGGAAGAGCAUGCCAGGCUGGAGGCCCUGCGGAGGGGACAAGUUCAGCAGCUUGGAGGACCAGAGAGAAAUCCAGCUCCUGCCUCCUAACUCACACAGCCCUGGUUAUAGCCUUUUGUUAUCACGUUGGGGCAGUUUAGGCCUCAGGAAGCUGAAUCUCAAGACCCUAAUCUGACUGUGGGUCAGAAGAUCCUCAUUCCAGGGUGGGUUCUGCCUCAUCCCCUAGAGGAAGAAAUGCUGCCGAGAAGCUGAGAAGAGUCUGGGCCAGGCGUGGUGGCUCAUGCCUGUAAUCCCAAGACUGGGAGCCCAAGGCGGGCAGAUCACCUGAAGUCAGGAGUUCGAGGCCAGCCUGGCCAACACGGCAAAACCCCAUCUGUACUAAAAAUACAAAAAUUAGUCGGGCAUGGUGGCACGUGCCUGUAAAACCAGCUACUGGGGGUGCUGAGCCAGGAGAAUUGCUUGAACCUGGAAGGCAGAGGUUGCAGUGAGCCGAGAUCACACCACUACACUCCAGCCUGGGUGACAAAGUGAGGCUCCGUCUCAAAAAAAAAAAAAAGAAGAAUCUGGACAGACAAGCCCUGCUGAGUUUACACCACGCCCUGUGUAUCCAGUUGCAUUUCUACAUGGUUGUCAAUCAUUCCUGUCCAACGAUGUCUCCAUCAAAGGCCCAAGAGGACAGGGUUCAGGGACCUUUCAGAGAGCUGACCACGCAGAGGCUCCUGGAGGGGCUGCCCAGGGAGGGCAUGGCAGCUCCACGCCCCUUCC